GUUCCGGUGGCCUAGUGGUUAGAGCUUCCGCCUCGGAUGCGUGAGAUCAUGGAUUCGAACCCUGGUCGAAUCU